rnacentral:rRNA from 1 species
GUAAGUCUGCGAAGGUGUAUCGAGAGGUAUGCUGGAGAUAUCAGAAGUGCGAAUGCUGACGUAAGUAACGAUAAAGGGGGUGAAAAGCCUCCUCGCCGGAAGACCAAGGGUUCCUGUCCAACGUUAAUCGGGGCAGGGUGAGUCGACCCCUAAGGCGAGGCCGAAAGGCGUAGUCGAUGGGAAGCAGGUUAAUAUUCCUGCACGACUUGUAAUUGCGAUGGGGGGACGGAGAAGGCUAGGUGGGCCAGGCGACGGUUGUCCUGGUGAAAGUGCGUAGGUGGUGUUUCCAGGCAAAUCCGGAGACACAACACUGAGACACGAGACGAACACACUACGGUGUGGAAGCCAUUGAUGCCCUGCUUCCAGGAAAAGCCUCUAAGCUUCAGAUUACAAGUCAUCGUACCCCAAACCGACACAGGUGGUCGGGUAGAGAAUACCAAGGCGCUUGAGAGAACUCGGGUGAAGGAACUAGGCAAAAUAGAACCGUAACUUCGGGAGAAGGUUCGCUCUUGACAGUGAAGUCCCUUGCGGAUGGAGCAGUUGGGAGUCGCAGUGACCAGAUGGCUGGGACUGUUUAUCAAAAACACAGCACUCUGCAAACACGAAAGUGGACGUAUAGGGUGUGACACCUGCCCGGUGCCGGAAGGUUAAUUGAUGGGGUUAGCGCAAGCGAAGCUCUUGAUCGAAGCCCCGGUAAACGGCGGCCGUAACUAUAACGGUCCUAAGGUAGCGAAAUUCCUUGUCGGGUAAGUUCCGACCUGCACGAAUGGUGUAACCAUGGCCAUGCUGUCUCCACCCGAGACUCAGUGAAAUCGAAUUCGCCGUGAAGAUGCGGUGUACCCGCGGCUAGACGGAAAGACCCCGUGAACCUUUACUACAGCUUGGCACUGAACAUUGAACCUACAUGUGUAGGAUAGGUGGGAGGCUUUGAAGGCGUGACGCCAGUUGCGCUGGAGCCGUCCUUGAAAUACCACCCUUGUAUGUUUGAUGUUCUAACGCAGGGCCCUGAAUCGGGCUCGCGGACAGUGCCUGGUGGGUAGUUUGACUGGGGCGGUCUCCUCCCAAAGAGUAACGGAGGAGCACGAAGGUUGGCUAAUCCUGGUCGGACAUCAGGAGGUUAGUGCAAUGGCAUAAGCCAGCUUAACUGCGAGACGGACAGGUCGAGCAGGUACGAAAGUAGGUCAUAGUGAUCCGGUGGUUCUGAAUGGAAGGGCCAUCGCUCAACGGAUAAAAGGUACUCCGGGGAUAACAGGCUGAUACCGCCCAAGAGUUCAUAUCGACGGCGGUGUUUGGCACCUCGAUGUCGGCUCAUCACAUCCUGGGGCUGAAGUCGGUCCCAAGGGUAUGGCUGUUCGCCAUUUAAAGUGGUACGCGAGCUGGGUUCAGAACGUCGUGAGACAGUUCGGUCCCUAUCUGCCGUGGGCGUUGGAUGAUUGAAGGGAGUUGCUCCUAGUACGAGAGGACCGGAGUGAACGAACCUCUGGUGUUCGGGUUGUCACGCCAGUGGCACUGCCCGGUAGCUAAGUUCGGAAUCGAUAACCGCUGAAAGCAUCUAAGCGGGAAGCGAGCCCUGAGAUGAGUCAUCCCUGACCCCUUGAGGGUCCUAAAGGGCCGUUGGAGACCACAACGUUGAU